UACAGAGGUCCCGAGCGUUGUUCGGAUUUACUGGGCGUAAAGGGUGCGUAGGUGGCUGGGAAAGUUUGAUGUGAAAGCUCAGGGCUUAACCCUGAAAUGGCAUUGAAUACUGCCUGGCUGGAGGUUUGGAGGGGGGACUGGAAUUCUUGGUGUAGCAGUGAAAUGCGUAGAUAUCAAGAGGAACACCAGUGGCGAAGGCGAGUCCCUGGACAACACCUGACACUGAGGCACGAAAGCCGGGGGAGCAAACAGG
rnacentral:rRNA from 1 species